UACGUAGGCAGCGAGCGUUGUUCGGAGUUACUGGGCGUAAAGGGUGUGUAGGCGGUUUUCUAAGUUUGGUGUGAAAUCUCCCGGCUUAACCGGGAGGGUGCGCCGAAAGCUGGGAGACUAGAGUGCGGGAUGGGAGAGUAGAAUUCCUGGUGGUAGCGGUGAAAUGCGUAGAUAUCAGGAGGAAUACCGGUGGUGCAGACGGCUCUCUGGACCGCAACUGACGCUGAGACACGAAAGCGUGGGUAGCAAACAGG
rnacentral:rRNA from 1 species